CAGGGCAUUUGUUGUUGGUCGUGGCUUCCCAAUUGCUGACUUUCUAAUUUGCUCAAAUCUUGCUGAUGGCUAGGAAAAGGAAGUGUUCGUUCAUGGAUGACUUUCCUAGUGAUGCUUCUAACGGUCUUGGUGAUGAUGAAUUGUUGUUAUCUGGGAACUCUUCUGCUGCUGAAGAAAAUAAUGAGUCUAGUAAUGAUAGACUGUUUGAUUCAGAGGAUUCUAUGUCUGAUGCUCACCAUUUCGUUAAUGAGGCUUUGUGCAAGCAGUAUAUGAAAGAA